rnacentral:piRNA from 1 species
UCACUACAAACAUGUUGGCGAGUAGGGUC